AGUGAACGCUGGCGGUAGGCCUAACACAUGCAAGUCGAACGGCAGCACAGUAAGAGCUUGCUCUUACGGGUGGCGAGUGGCGGACGGGUGAGGAAUACAUCGGAAUCUACUUUUUCGUGGGGGAUAACGUAGGGAAACUUACGCUAAUACCGCAUACGACCUACGGGUGAAAGCAGGGGAUCUUCGGACCUUGCGCGAUUGAAUGAGCCGCUGUCGGAUUAGCUAGUUGGCGGGGUAAAGGCCCACCAAGGCGACGAUCCGUAGCUGGUCUGAGAGGAUGAUCAGCCACACUGGAACUGAGACACGGUCCAGACUCCUACGGGAGGCAGCAGUGGGGAAUAUUGGACAAUGGGCGCAAGCCUGAUCCAGCCAUACCGCGUGGGUGAAGAAGGCCUUCGGGUUGUAAAGCCCUUUUGUUGGGAAAGAAAAGCAGCAGGUUAAUACCCCGCUGUUCUGACGGUACCCAAAGAAUAAGCACCGGCUAACUUCGU
rnacentral:rRNA from 1 species